UACGUAGGGUGCAAGCGUUACUCGGACUUACUGGGCGUAAAGCGUGCGCAGGCGGUUUUGUAAGUCUGGCGUGAAAUCCCCGGGCUCAACCUGGGAAUUGCGUUGGAGACUGCAAGGCUAGAAUCUGGCAGAGGGGGGUAGAAUUCCACGUGUAGCAGUGAAAUGCGUAGAUAUGUGGAGGAACACCGAUGGCGAAGGCAGCCCCCUGGGUCAAGAUUGACGCUCAUGCACGAAAGCGUGGGGAGCAAACAGG
rnacentral:rRNA from 1 species